GACGAACGCUGGCGGCGUGCCUAAUACAUGCAAGUUGAGCGAUGAAGAUUGGUGCUUGCACCAAUUUGAAGAGCAGCGAACGGGUGAGUAACGCGUGGGGAAUCUGCCUUUGAGCGGGGGACGACAUUUGGAAACGAAUGCUAAUACCGCAUAAUAACUUUAAACAUAAGUUUUAAGUUUGAAAGAUGCAAUUGCAUCACUCAAAGAUGAUCCCGCGUUGUAUUAGCUAGUUGGUGAGGUAAAGGCUCACCAAGGCGAUGAUACAUAGCCGACCUGAGAGGGUGAUCGGCCACAUUGGGACUGAGACACGGCCCAAACUCCUACGGGAGGCAGCAGUAGGGAAUCUUCGGCAAUAGACGAAAGUCUGACCGAGCAACGCCGCGUGAGUGAAGAAGGUUUUCGGAUCGUAAAACUCUGUUGGUAGAGAAGAACGUUGGUGAGAGUGGAAAGCUCAUCAAGUGACGGUAACUACCCAGAAAGGGACGGCUAACUACGUG
rnacentral:rRNA from 1 species